AACCUUUCUUGCAGAAGAAAAAGACAAGCUAGUGAAAUUGCUGACGUCUCAUAGAGACACAAUAUUAAACAAAAACGGAUGGGACCACGAACGAAGCCAAAAACAAAGCUUGGAUCCAGUUACAAAUAGUUUUAAUGCGAUAGGAACCGUUUACAGUUUCAGGUGGUGCGAGAAAUUGGAAAGACGUGUAAAAACAUGCUGCGCCCAGCCCACCUCAAAUUGAAUUGGUGCAGGAGGAUGAUGAUAAUGUUUGGUACAUCAUAUGAGGACUAAUAUUAAAAUAUUUGUUUAC
rnacentral:lncRNA from 1 species